GGGGAUGAAAGGAUUUCGACAGGGUUGUUAAACCUUGGUCAGCGAGUAGCGGAGUUGCACCGCUUUAAAAGUAACACUUUAAAAUUAACUGACAAUAAUAAAUCAGUAGCUUUAGCUGCCUAAGCGCAGCUUUCGUCUUACCUUUGAUUGCCGCGGCUUAGGAUAAGGCGUCGAUUAGCGGCGAACAUGAACGAAAAAUCGGCUCGCUUUUCGUCAGGUAACAGAGCCUACCGAAGCAGUAAGAAUGUUUGUUUUCGUGCUGUGUGGGGAAUCUUAAAUAACAAACUACACUCGUAGAGCCCUUGGCAAGACAGCUUUGGACGCGGUUUCGAUUACCGCCAUCUCCACCA
rnacentral:tmRNA from 1 species